AGAGUUUGAUUCUGGCUCAGGAUGAACGCUAGCUACAGGCUUAACACAUGCAAGUCGAGGGGCAGCAUUGGAGUAGCAAUACUUCAGAUGGCGACCGGCGCACGGGUGAGUAACACGUAUCCAACCUGCCGCUUACUCGGGGAUAGCCUUUUCGAAAGAAAGAUUAAUACCCGAUGGUAUAAAGAGUUCGCAUGUUCUCUUUAUUAAAGAAUUUCGGUAAGCGAUGGGGAUGCGUUCCAUUAGAUAGUUGGCGGGGUAACGGCCCACCAAGUCUACGAUGGAUAGGGGUUCUGAGAGGAAGGUCCCCCACAUUGGAACUGAGACACGGUCCAAACUCCUACGGGAGGCAGCAGUGAGGAAUAUUGGUCAAUGGACGAGAGUCUGAACCAGCCAAGUAGCGUGAAGGAUGACUGCCCUAUGGGUUGUAAACUUCUUUUAUAAGGGAAUAAAGUGAGGGACGUGUCCCUUUUGUAUGUACCUUAUGAAUAAGGAUCGGCUAACUCCGUGCCAGCAGCAGC
rnacentral:rRNA from 1 species